rnacentral:lncRNA from 1 species
UGCAUCUGUAUUUAUUUAAAAAUGCUUUUGCAACCUGACACUGUUCAGCUUUUUUAUCUUUUACCAGUAUUUGGGGACUUAUUGGGGAUUCCUUUGAUAAUUUCAGGAAGAAAGAAGUGGAAUGGAAGGAGCCAGUAACUGUCCCAGGUCAGAAAACGCCUCUGAAAAGGAUCUACAUUACACCCAAAGUUCAUUGGAUAACUGCACCCUCAACAAUCAGGAGACAAUAAGUGGUGUAGACAGAGCUAAUAUCUUCCCCAAAUCAGAUGGUACCUCUGAAGACAUUCAGCAUUCCACAGACUGUUCACAGGUUGAGACUUUCCACAUUCAGGAGACAAUAAGUGGUACGAACCAAGCCAGUAACUGCCCCAAAUCAGAUGGUGCCUCUGAAGACAAUCAGCAUUGCACAGACAGUUCACAGCAUGACAGUAUCUUCCACAUUCAGGAGACAAUAAAGGGUAUGAACCAAGCCAGUAACUGCCCCAAAUCAGAUGGUGCCUCUGAAGACAAUCAGCAUUGCACAGACAGUCCACAGCAUGACAGUAUCUUCCACAUUCAGGAGACAAUAAAGGGUAUGAACCAAGCCAGUAACUGCCCCAAAUCAGAUGGUGCCUCUGAAGACAAUCAGCAUUGCACAGACAGUCCACAGCAUGACAGUAUCUUCCACAUUCAGGAGACAAUAAAGGGUAUGAACCAAGCCAGUAACUGCCCCAAAUCAGAUGGUGCCUCUGAAGACAAUCAGCAUUGCACAGACAGUUCACAGCAUGACAGUAUCUUCCACAUUCAGGAGACAAUAAAGGGUAUGAACCAAGCCAGUAACUGCCCCAAAUCAGAUGGUGCCUCUGAAGACAAUCAGCAUUGCACAGACAGUUCACAGCAUGACAGUAUCUUCCACAUUCAGUGGCUCUUGAUGUAGAACCACCCAUAGAUCCUUCUGCAAAAGAAGUCCAGAAAUCUUCAAUUGAACAAGCAACAGAAAUAACAAGUACCACAACUACCAUGAAAGGUACUGUUUGUUAAACUUCAUAGAAAGCCUUUAUGAACUUAAAAAUCUCUGUUUUUUCUGAUGUGCUUUGUUCAUUCAGGUCGAAAGGUGGUAAAGAAAAAGAAAUGGGACAGUGAUGAAAUGAAUGCAGUUGAAAAGCAUCUAAACAGGUUCAUCAAAACUUGUACAGUGCCAGGAAAACAACAAUGUGAGGCCUGUAUAAAUGCUGAACCUGUUGCCUUGAAAGACAGGGAUUGGUUGUCUGUAAAGUUCUUUGUGAAGAACAAAAUCACUACCCUUAAAAGAAGAAUGUAAAGUCAGUUAUUUUAUUUUGUUUGGUAUCUUAUUUUCUGGUAUUUUAGAUUUCUGGUUAUUACAUUUGUUUUAAAAGGAUCUUAGAAUCUCUUUUUUUUUUUUUUUUGGAAAUGGGUGCAAUUCAGUAAAGUGUCUUUGAAUCGAAUGUAAAUAUGUACAGAAUACUGUUCAGAAUGCUACAUAAAAAUAGCAAAAAAAAAUAAAUAUUUUAUUCAUGUUAUUAAAUUUUGAUCU